GAAGAGCCCCAGAACAGAUGGGCAGUGUCAGUUCCCAGCACUGCCCCAUUAAUGUGCCUCAACCCUGACUUGAAAGGACUACUCUAGAAUGAGAGGCUAGUUC
rnacentral:sRNA from 1 species